UGUCAGAAUGGCCAUGACCGUUAGUUAGACGCAACAAGCCGAGCGGUGGGGCAAAUGGAGAGGGACACAUGAGCUUUCCUACUUUCCCUUUAACGACAACAAUAAAUGGAAUCACUUGGAAUAGGUGUGGUCCGCAUCUAGUUCUUGAAAGGAACCGCUCUGGUCCUCGAAAGGAACUAAUCUGUUCGUCGGCCGCCCAAGAAAAGGAACGGCUCUGUUCUGCAUAUAUUGCCGCUCUGGUAGAACAGGAGUCAAUUCAUCAGAUUUCUCGAGUUCCCUUCUCGGCCAAUCUCAGGCUCGGCAACAUGGAGGGCGCUCCGGAUGCUCAGCAGAUGUCGUAUUUCAAUCAUGUUAAGAAUCGUCACGAGGAAAAAGGCUGUCUAUAUGCAUGUUUGUUCACGCUGUGCUGCUGCUGCUGCUGCUUUGAGACCUGCGAAUACUGCUUGGAAAGUAUCUGCUGUUGCUGCUAGUUUAACCAGAAUGUUUGAAGACCGUGUCUCUUCUUUGUGCAGUAGUUUGGAGACCUCGUGAUCCAAUAAUUGUCGUGUAAAUGCCUCAUUAUCCAAUAAUUGUCGUGUAAAUGGGUUCAUCCAAUCGAAGUAUGCGUGAUACUUGAGGUCUGUAAUAACAUGAACGUAUUUGUUUGAUAUUCCUCCUGGAGUGAAUUAGGUUUCACAUAA